AGUGAACGCUGGCGGCAGGCCUAAUACAUGCAAGUCGAACGGCAGCACAGUGGAGCUUGCUCCAUGGGUGGCGAGUGGCGGACGGGUGAGGAAUACAUGGGAAUCUGCCCAGUCGUGGGGGAUAACGUAUGGAAACGUACGCUAAUACCGCAUGCGCCCUUCGGGGGAAAGUCGGGGACCGCAAGGCCUGACGCGAUUGGAUGAGCCCAUGUUCGAUUAGCUAGUUGGCGGGGUAACGGCCCACCAAGGCGACGAUCGAUAGCUGGUCUGAGAGGAUGAUCAGCCACACUGGAACUGAGACACGGUCCAGACUCCUACGGGAGGCAGCAGUAGGGAAUAUUGGACAAUGGGCGCAAGCCUGAUCCAGCCAUGCCGCGUGAGUGAAGAAGGCCCUCGGGUUGUAAAGCUACUUUUGUUGGGG
rnacentral:rRNA from 1 species